rnacentral:rRNA from 1 species
CCUACGGGAGGCAGCAGUGAGGAAUAUUGGUCAAUGGCCGGAAGGCUGAACCAGCCAAGCCGCGUGAAGGACGAAGGUGCCAAGCAUUGUAAACUUCUUUUGUCAAGGGACAAAAUCAGGCUCGAGAGCCUGACCGAGGGUACUUGAAGAAAAAGCAUCGGCUAACUCCGUGCCAGCAGCCGCGGUAAUACGGAGGAUGCGAGCGUUAUCCGGAUUUAUUGGGUUGAAAGGGGGCGUAGGCGGACUGUUAAGUCAGCGGUAAAAGCCCGGGGCUCAACCCCGGAGAGCCGUUGAAACUGGCUGUCUUGAGCUGUCGAGAGGUAUGCGGCAUGCGCA